UGACUAGUUUAGGUUUUUUUUGCUUCCUCAUCCCUCGACGUCGGAUUUCUUCGACCUCAUUCUCGACGCUGAUCAGCGCGGGAGAAAAUCCUAGACGGCGUCAGAGAUGGCGAUGCCCUCGCGCGAAGCGAUCGACGCCUUAAUCAGCAUAACCAGCGCCUCCGAGGCCGUCGCGCUGCACAAAUUCGAGGGCACAAGAAGCACAAAAUGUCUCGGGUGAACAGUGUCCGAGGCGCCUUCCAAGUAAAGGAAGACGUCUUUCUACCCUUCAUGGAAGGGGCUUCCUAAGGCUUGAAAGACGCUUUUGCACUGUUCAUGAAAGACAUUUUUGGUGCUAUGAAAGGCGCCUUCUAAUGGAUAGAACAGACCUCGUCUUCUUGGAUCAACCUGGUUUCUAAUUCACAAAUUAAAUAUCUUGUAUUGGAGUGGCGGCAUACGAUCAUCAACUUAUGUGUGCUAAGUUUUGAGCUUUUGGCUAUGUUGAAUUAAUAAGUGCAUUACCGUCAUUGCCAUGAAUGGAAUUUCACACAGAGUGGUUUUGGUAAUUUUGACACCAAGUUCAUUAUUUCAAUUUAAUAAUUUGAGUGAAGUUGAUUAAGUUUGCAUGUAUAUAUUCAUUGAUAUGUGAUAAUUUUUGACUUUGCUAUUGUAGAUCAAUAAUCAUGACAUUGCUAAGAGUUUCACAUUUCUGGAUUUCUCUUAAUGUUGCAUUAGCCAUGCAAUCUGUUUUAGGUUAGUGAAUAUAAAUAUUAUUUUAGUGCAUACACUCAAGAGCCUGGCCAAUAGAAUAUACACCAAUCGGAGCAUCACGAAUUCAUGAUGCAUUAGCUGCUUGGAUAUUUGUUUUUUUUUUUUUUGUUUAGAAAGCAUUUGAUUUAAGCUGCUUGGAUAUUUCUUCCUUUUUUGUAGAAAACAUUUGAUGAAUCAUAUGAACUGCAUAAAUAAUGCCACUCUAUAUGGUUUUUUGGUUUCUGGAGGCAUGGGUCUGGUUCUGCUGAAAGUGGAACUUCAAGUCAAGUGAAAUUAGAAAAAAAAAAAAAAGUCCAUUAGUCUUGGAAGAAACUGAGGAUAUGGAGGAGCAACCUUUAAUGAGACACCAUUCCAGACAAAUUGCCCCUGUUAUUGCAGAACCUACAGACUCUGGACGGUCAAGCCAUAGUGCUUUGGAUCCUCCAUGGAUUGAUGUAGAUUGAUGUAGAUCAGAGCCCUCAGCUUAACGGCCAUGCUUUUGAGAUAGAUGAGGUAUACAUUAGGAUACGGGUAAUAAUUCGUGGACCUAUAGGGUAAUGCGGAGGUCAAGGUCAAAGUGACGUAACGUUUAAAAUUCAAGGGAAGGAGGUCUAAGUGCACCUGGCCGGGUUAAGGCUAGUCAGGUUGAAGAGCACUUAGAUCCAUGAAGCUCUUUACGUGCGCUCGGUCGGGUGAGGGCCGACCGGGUUUUACAAGUACUUAGAUCCAUGAAUUUGGUCCGGUUGGGUUGACCCGACCAAAAUACCAGAGAUAAAGCUGAUCGAUCUUAUGGCUGGUCGGAUUCAAAGGGUUUAAGAAGUUAGCACGUCUGGACAAAGCUCGGGCGAGAUUUAUGCAUUUAACCUAAAUAAACUUCUUCAUAAAGGCCAGUCCGACGGGUUCAAAGCAUGUGACCUAAUAAACGACCAUAUAUGUGCACUCGGCUGGAUUUAAGAGCACUUAGCCUCAUAAGGCUAUCUAGGUGUGCUCGGUCAGGUAAAGGUUGAUCGGGUUUAAGAGCACUUAGCCUCAUAAGGCUAUUUAGGUGUGCCCGACUGGUAAAGGCCGGCCAGGUUUAAGAGCACUUAGCCUCAUAAGGUUAUCUAUGUGCGCUCGGCCGUGUAAAGGUCGGUCGGGUUUAAGAGCUCUUAGCCUCAUAAAGCUAUCUAAGUGCUCCUGGCCAGGUAAAUGCCGGAAGGGUUUAAGGGCACUUAGCCUCAUAAGGCUAUUUAUAUACACCCGACUGGGUAAAGAUUGGCCUGGUUUAAGAGCGCUUAGCCUCAUAAAGCUAUAUAUGUGCGCUCGGCCGGGUAAUGGCUUGUCGGGCCUGAAAGCACUUAACCCCAUAAGGCUAUCUAUGUGCGUCGGUCCGGGUAAAGGUCGAUCGGGUUUAAGAGCACUUAAUCUCAUGAGGCUAUUUAUGUGUGCUCGGCCGGAUAAAGGCUGGCCGGGCCUAAGAAUACUUGACCCUAUAAAACCUUAGGUGCAUCCAGUUGAAUAAAGUCCGUCCGAGAUUAAAGUUACUUGGUAUCAUAUUGGUUCUUUAACAUGUAUAAUUCAGCAGUUGACUCUCUAAAUGCAUUUCUAGUACACUCUAUGCAACAUACUGAUUCUUGCUCAGAUUUCCUACAACACGCAACACAUAAUCAACCAGUUUAAUGAAAGGAUAAGCUUAAACACGGCUGGCCUUAAAGGUCGGUCGAGAUAUGAUCAACAGACAUUAUAACAACUCAUCAGAAUUUGUCGGAGAAUAUUCCUUCGGAACUUCCUUUGGAGGUUAUUAUGAUUAUCUUCAUAUAGAAUAAUAAUGAUAGCAUACUCCUUUAACCGUCUUAUCAAUGACGGGAGAUAUAAACGAUAAAAGAGGUACAUAAAUGAGUAGAUGGAAGAUUCCUCAAAUGAUUAUUGCAUAUGGUACAAUUCUCUUUCCAUUUUGUUGAAGCUGCACUUGAGCGUCGGAGGGUCUUGUCAGGGACCCCUUCCCUGAUUUUUGGUUACUAGCGCUUUGUUGGAUCGUCUAGUUAUGAGUAGGAUCGUUGAGAAGCUUCCCCCUUCAAAUCGAAAAGUCUUCCACCAGUCAACAAGUCAUCGUCGUCACGAGCGCACCAUCUCUUAGCUUUUAGCUUUCAGACCGGAUGGAUUUUAUUUAUUUCGUUGUAUGACCCUUGCCAUUUGGACAAAUCUCCAUUUUCUUUUCAUUUUUUAAUUUAGUGGAGUGGAAUUUCUUCUCAAGAGCAUGAUGAAGCUCUCAUGCUGGAGGCUGCAAUGUUCGGGGGUAUUCCUGAUGAAAGAAGGUUUCAGUUUGGAUACCGACUCGUCACAUGCCUCGUCCUCCUUCACCUACACUUAUGGCACAAUGCUUAUUAAGAGAGCAACAGGAUGAUGAGUAUCUUGCAUCACUUCAAUCAGAUAGAGAAAAAGAAUUGAAAGCUCAGCAGGAAGCUGAGCUCUGUAGUUUUGAAGAGGCUAAUGCUAGGGGAGGCUGCUCUUCAGUAGGAGCGACAUGAAGAGGCAGAAACUCAUAGGAAGCAAAUUGAAGAAGAGGCAAGACAUGCUCUUAUGUCUCCACUAAUACAUAACUUGCAUAGCGUGAAUUUAUUUUUAAUCUGAAUUGAUUACAUUUAUUAAAUGCAAAUUUAUCAAAUGCAAAUGUGCAGUCUCAGUAUGCUGAAUGUACCUUUGAUGAUAUUUGAUAAAACUGACAUUAAUUCAGGACAUCAGCUUGCUAAUGCCCAAUAUCAAUGUGAAAAUUUUAUCAGCAUCUUCUUUUCUUAUAUUUAUGUACAGUACUGUACCCAAAUAAUAUUUAAAUAAUAAAAUUAUUGGAUAAAUAAUCUUAUUAGAUUUUUAAAAAUUUUUUGAGAAUUUUCUGAGAUGUCACUGCCAGUCGUGAUGGUUUGCCGUCGUCGUCGCUCUCUUCCAUCGUGUGGUGCCGCAUGCCCUUGUUCGCCGCCAACCAUCACAGUCGGCGCCGGCCGUUGUGAGCUCCGACCGCGAGACGUUGGUGUUUGGUGUUGUCAGCCGCUGAGCCCUAUUUCGGCCCUACCAUUGGGUUGUGCCCUAGAUCCUAUUCCGUCGUUCGAGCGUCGCCGUGAUACACUGCCUGAUCUCGAUUCUUCAGCCGCUGACUCUCUCUCCCUUCACUCCAUCGUCGGCAUAGAUCUACGCCCAUCGUACCUUUGAAGCCGCACUGCUCGAUCACCGGUCAUUGUUGCCCCGAUGUCACCUACUUCCUCCCCUAUUUCUUUCGAUCUCACCUUCACCUCUCCACUGUGGCCAGCAGUUAGCUCCGCCGACAGCUAGAUCUAACUAAUACUACUCCGGCCCAGUGAACCACCGGAGAUGAAGGAGAACCAUAACCUCGAAGAUGCUCGGAGUAUUGCCUGAGAGAGAUUCAUUCCACCGUAAGCUGGGGUUGGAGAAGGAGAACAAGCAGUGUUUGGAGUAUUGAUUCGAGAUGAGCGUUUUGAUACGAGGUUGGUUUAUCACGAUCGACAGAUAAAGACGGAUAUGAGCAGUAUUCUAGCGGGUCUUUGCUACACCUUACCUUCUACUACUAGCCUAGGAUAUGGCUUCAGGUAGCAGGUAAAUGAUUUAUGGAGUCGCCUGGAGAUCUUGUCCGCCAGUCCCAUGUCACGUCGAGCGACUUCUUCCGUUAUUGCUUUCGUUCGCUUUACUGGUUUGGUUUUAUUCACGUAUAUGUAUCUUUGUAUGAAAUUCAGCUUUGUGUUUGUUUGUAUUUGGUUUGAUAUUAUUGUGUCAAGUCGAGCCGGUUCGCAGCUAGUGUAUUGUGGUUUUGUAAUCGUUAUUUGUAUUUUUCGCUGUGUUGGUUUUUAGUACAGUGGGUUGAUUAAUAUAUUUAUAACUGCGUGAUUAUGUUUAUUUCUGUUUCA